UACGGAGGGUGCAAGCGUUAUUCGGAUUUAUUGGGCGUAAAGGGUGCGCAGGCGGUUUGUUAAGUCAGAUGUGAAAGCCCGGGGCUCAACCCCGGAAGAGCAUUUGAAACUGGCAGACUUGAGUAUGGUAGGGGGAAGCGGAAUUCCAGGUGUAGAGGUGAAAUUCGUAGAUAUCUGGAGGAACACCCGUGGCGAAGGCGGCUUCCUGGACCAAUACUGACGCUGAGGCACGAAGGUGUGGGUAGCGAACGGG
rnacentral:rRNA from 1 species